rnacentral:rRNA from 1 species
UACGAAGGGGGCUAGCGUUGCUCGGAAUUACUGGGCGUAAAGCGCACGUAGGCGGAUCUUUAAGUCAGGGGUGAAAUCCUGGAGCUCAACUCCAGAACUGCCUUUGAUACUGAGGGUCUUGAGUUCGGGAGAGGUGAGUGGAACUGCGAGUGUAGAGGUGAAAUGCGUAGAUAUCAAGAGGAACACCAGUGGCGAAGGCGAGUCCCUGGACAACUUCUGACGCUGAGGCACGAAAGCUAGGGGAGCAAACAGG